AGCCAUUGCUCCCAGGGGAGGUACAGGGUUCGACCCUGGGAGCCUUCAGUCAUGUUUUCAUCAGCUGAUCAAUAAGUAACCUAACGUGGGACUGCAUCUGGCUCAUCAGCUGAAAUAAGAACCUAACCAACCAGCGGACCAAUGACCUCAUCGCCAUUGUGGAUAAUGCAUUCAGCAAUUAUUGAAAUAUUAGUAAGAUAGCAGAAGAGAUGGCUUGCUUUUACUUGGGGUGACCUGACUACUACCUUCAAAUAUGUUGCCUUUUCUCUCGUGGAAGAGGGGUUAGUGAGGUCUGCCUGGCCAUACAGAGCCGGGCUUGGAGUUUGCACAUGGAAGGAAGUGACACUCACCAGGAGUCAUGAAUGAACUGACCUGCUGGAGGAGAGGACAUCAAGACUCCCACAUGGACUCCAGGCAGUCACCUUGGCAGGGCUAACUCCACCUGACCUGUUAGUGGAGAGGACAUCAAGACUCCCACAUGGACUCCAGGCAGUCACCUUGGCAGAGUUAACUCCACCCCAGAAUGGACUUAUGAGAGCUCCCCUGAUCUUCCAAGGGAGGGCUGAUGUCUAUCUAGCAGUGACAUCAUUGUACUGGCAGUCUAGAUGUGUCUGGUUCACAGUGGGCACCCUGACCCCAGCUCUGCCCCAUGUGAGAAGACAGCCAGGACCCUGGUGGCAGCUGUCCACUCUCUCAUGACUGGGGAUCUGGGAAAGUAUUUGCUCUGUUUAUUUUGGGCUAGCAAAAGCUCAUCUUGUUUGUGUGUAGAUGUUUAGCAACAGAGAGAUUAGGAAAUCUAAAUUUAAUAAAUACUAAAAAUAC